rnacentral:lncRNA from 10 species
ACUCCCUUCAAACAGUGCACGCAUGAACUCUUAAAUAGGCUUGAAUUCAUGGGACAGACUCAGAGUCCAGGGACAUAACUUGACGACUGAAUUAGUAAUUGGGUGAUACAGGGAAACUAAGGCUGAGAGGUGAUUUGAUCAAGGUCAUACAGCAAGUGGUGGAAGGACGACUAGAAUCCAGGAUUUGCAUAUCAGAGAGCAAAACCGAGAAAAGUCAGAGGGUAUACUCUGCCUCCAGCAUGGGUGCUCACUCAUCUCAUGUUUAGAGCCUGGCAUGGAUUCUGGUACAUGGAAGCGUUAGAUGGGCAGGGUAAAAAGGAGGACAAGAAUGAAUACUUGGGUAUAAUCUGCUCUUGCUGUUGGAUGAGGAAGCUGAGACACAAUCACGGAAGAGCAAGAUUUAAAAGCCGGCAGUCUGACUCCUGAUCUCUCACUCAUCCACUACUGUAGACAGCCUUCUCUGUGUUUCAUUAGCACAUAACAAGAAUUCAUGCUCUCGGAGUACAAAGCAGGGUUUGUAAUAUCAAUAAAAGAGACACUUUCAUAGUGUUUUAGCUGAGUCUUGAGGAGAAAAGUAGAGUUUUAGUGAAGGAAGAAAGAAAGGCACUACAUGCUGAUUGUAUGUUUGAAGGCGCUGCUGUUAAGAGGUGAAGAUGCUGUUGUGGAAGAUGAAUCUGGGAUGGACUAAGGAUGGAACACUAACAUUUAAAGAAUGGAGGAAGAAAAGCAGUUGUGGAGAGUGAGAAAGACUAGAGAUAAAGCAGAAAAAAUCCUAGAGGGUUUAGUAUCAUGACCAGGAACUAGGCAUUUCAAAAAGGAAGAAACGAUCAACAGUGAUGAAUGAGAAGAGCUGGAAGGAAUGUAGAUGGAGAAAAGCCUAGAGAUUUGUUACCUAGGACACUAGUAAUGACCUCAGAGAAUGCAGAAUGGUAGAGGUGGAAGCAAAACUCAGAGGAUUAUUGAAAAAAAUGAGAAAAGUAGAAAAGUGGAAGCAGGAAGUGCAGACAUUUCCUAUACCAAUGUAGACAUAUUUGUGUUUAUAUACAUACACAUAUUCAUGUGUAUUCCUAGUUUCAAUAAUGCACAAUGUUGAGGUUAACCUUAAAAAAAGAUUAAUUUAGCAAAAGAUAGAAAAGCAGAUCUGAAAAAAGAAUGUAUUCCUUGCCAUUAUAGACUAUGCUUAAUAAGUAAUACUUAGUUUAGUAGAUUGUAGCUUGUGACAACAUGAGAAGUGCAUCCAGUAGAUUCAUAGUAGUUCUUACUGGGGUACCUGCUUAUAUUGUUGCUAGCAAACUAUUUGGGCAUGUUAUUUUUUGUAUCUGGACUAGUUCCUUAUCUGCCAAGAACUAAAUGAUUAAGUCCCAUCUAACAUUUUAGGAUGCUCUGAUCUCCUUUUGACUUAUAGAAAUCACCAAAGUUAGACAGCUAAUGACCACUCUUUUUAAUAUUUCCUCCUUCAUGACAUGGGAAAUGAUUUUUAACGCCACUUUAGCCCAAUAAUUCAGACAUCUCACAUUGUAUAUGCACGUGUGUGUUCAUUUCAGUGCUAUUCACAACAGCAAAAACACAGAAAAAACUUAGGUGCCCCUCAGUGGUGGACUGGAUAAAGAAAAUGUGGCACCUGUACACCAUGGCAUACUAUGCAGCCAUAAAAAAGAAUGAAAUCAUGCCCUUUGCAGCAACAUGGAUGCAGCUGGAAGCCAUUAUCCUAAGUGAACUAACUCAGAAAAUCAAAUACUGCAUAUUCUCACUUUUAAGUGGGAGAUAAACAUUGGGUACUCAUGGAUAUAAAGUUAAAAACAAUAGACACUGGGUUCUAGUAGAGGGUGGAGGGUGGGAGACCAGUAACGGUCGAAAAACUACCUGUUGGGUAUUAUGCUUAUUACUUGGGUGACAGGAUCAUCUAUAUACCCCAAACCUCAGCAUCACACAAUAUACUCAUGUAAUAAACCUGCACUUGUACCCCCCCGAAUCUAAAAGUCAAAAUUAUGUUUUAAAAAAGAAAAUAUCUCAGAGUCUUGUCUUCUAGAUUUUCUUCAUUUCAACAGUUUGCCUUCUAUUCUUUUUCAGUUGCUUAGAUUUAAACUUCCUCAGAGUCUCAGUGAAAAGGACGAGUUUAUUCAGCUGGAAGAAUUGAACCUUGAAAGUAUACCCUUUAACCUUAAGUUUUAAAACACUGGGUUACAAAUAAGAAUAUAAAGUUUUAUUCAUCUCUAAACAUACUAGCAAAGCAACUGAUCUUUUAAACAGAAAAUUAUCAAUCACUAAGGACGCUACCAAAAAUAGAAAUAUUUAAACAUUGUAAUCAGACACCUCUAGUGAUUUGUGAAUAUCUGGAAGUCCUACUGAACCAUCAGCUAUUUGACAUUAUGUAGAGUUAGCUUGAGUCUAGGUGACUUGUUCCUUGGAAAGGCUUAGUUAGCACGGACCUGAAGUACUUCUAGUAUGAAUUCUAUCCUAAUGUCUUUAAGAGCAUUGGGUGGAAAAGAGAUGUACCAACACACACAAUGUUCUGCACAUGGAGUCAUUAAUGAAUAAAUUGGCUGAAGCACCUAGAAAGGUUUCAAAAUGCCCAAUAUCAUCUUACUCAAGGAAAUUUGUUUCCUCGAUGGAAAGCAUGCCAAAAACAAAAAACAAAAACAAACAAACAAAAAAACUAGUAGAACAAACAAGUGGAGAAAAUAGAAAAGCGGAGAAUAGCAGAAACCUUGAGUCCCUUUAUGUUCCUUAAAAAGUUUUUGAUUAUUUUUGUUUUAAUCCAUUCAGCAAGUAUUUAUGGAGUGCCAUCUGUAUGCUAUGAUAAGCUCUAGGGUUACAUUAAUAGAUAAAACAGCCCCCUACCCCUAUCAAAAAAAAAUCCCUACUCUCAUUAGCUUCUUUUAAAUUUAUACCAUUGUUUAAUGGGAAUGAGCCCAGUUGAAUUUUUUCAGUAACAUAUUUUAAAAUAAGCUUUAUUUUCAAAAACAAUUUUAGAUUUACAAAAAAAUUGAAAAGAUAGUUCAGAGAGUUCUCAUCCACUCCACAUAGUUUUCCCUAUUGUUAUCUUUCAUUAGGAUAUAUUUGCCACAAUUAAUGUGUCAAUAUUGAUACAUUAUUUUUAACUAACACCUAUAGUUUAUUUAUAUUUUUUAUAUUUUUCAUUUGUGUCUUUUUUCUGUUCCAGGCUACCAGCCAAUCCAGAAUACCACAUUACAUUUAGUAAUCAGGUUUCUAUCACUUCUUAGGCACUUUAUACAAGUCAUUUCAUUUAGUCCUAACGAGAACCCUGUAAG